rnacentral:snoRNA from 1 species
GUCAAAUGAUGCAAGAAUAUAUUUGCUACUUCGGACAAGGUUCAAGCCUUGAAUGAGACAUAUUAAAUCACCAAGAUCUCUGAUGAU